rnacentral:piRNA from 1 species
UGACAACUCAAUGACCCCAGGUGACCC